rnacentral:rRNA from 1 species
GUGGGGAAUAUUGGGCAAUGGGCGCAAGCCUGACCCAGCAACGCCGCGUGAAGGAAGAAGGCUUUCGGGUUGUAAACUUCUUUUACCAGGGACGAAACAAAUGACGGUACCUGGUGAAUAAGCCACGGCUAACUACGUGCCAGCAGCCGCGGUAAUACGUAGGUGGCGAGCGUUAUCCGGAUUUAUUGGGGGUAAAGGGCGUGUAGGCGGGACAGCAAGUCAGAUGUGAAAACCAGAGGCUCAACCUCUGGCCUGCAGUUGAAACUGUUGUUCUUGAGUGUCUGAGAGGUAAUCGGAAUUCCGUGUGUAGCGGUGAAAUGCGUAGAUAUACGGAGGAACACCAGUGGCGAAGGCGGAUUACUGGACGAUAACUGACGCUGAGGCGCGAAAGCGUGGGGAGCAAACAGGAUUAGAAACCCGGGUAGUCC